UACGGAAGGUGCAAGCGUUAAGCGGAAUUAUUGGGCGUAAAGCGCGCGUAGGCGGCUACCUAAGUCGGAUGUGAAAGCCCCUGGCUUAACUGGGGAAGUGCACCCGAAACUGGGUAGCUAGAGUGCAAAAGAGGGUCGCGGAAUUCCCGGUGUAGAGGUGAAAUUCGUAGAUAUCGGGAGGAACACCGGUGGCGAAGGCGGCGACCUGGGUUGACACUGACGCUGAGGCGCGAAAGCGUGGGGAGCAAACAGG
rnacentral:rRNA from 1 species